CCCUGAUCGCCAGGAGACUGGAGGCCAGAAGAUGUCCGCUCACUUUGCUGUGCCACUCCUGAGACCGGCCCCUGGAAGAAAACACACACAAAAAAUCUCUCAGCAAAGAAAGGCGUCCAGCUCUCCUUAUCGCAGUUUGAUAGAAAACAGUUUUGGGGACCACAGAGAGCCUAGAGAGAGGUGUGUCAGUCGGGUCUUCCUGGCUCCUGUGGGCUCCAGCAGGAAGAGACAGGAGUGGACGUGGGCCCUAAUCCCCUCCGACAGCACUUUAGGAUGCUCAGUGGAUACAGAGGACAGGUACAGAGGGCCGGAGGAUG